rfam:Otolemur garnettii contig142939, whole genome shotgun sequence.
GUGCUUGCUUGGGCAGCACAUAUGCUAAAAUUGGAAUGACACACAGAUUAGCAUGGCCCCUGGGCAAAAUGAUACACAAAUUUGUGAUGUGUUCCAUUAAAAA